rnacentral:rRNA from 1 species
AUUGAACGCUGGCGGCAUGCCUUACACAUGCAAGUCGAACGGCAGCACGGGAGCAAUCCUGGUGGCGAGUGGCGAACGGGUGAGUAAUGUAUCGGAACGGGCCCAGUCGUGGGGGAUAACGCAGCGAAAGCUGUGCUAAUACCGCAUACGAUCCAUGGAUGAAAGCGGGGGAUAGCAAGACCUCGAGCGAUUGGAGCGGCCGAUAUAAGAUUAGCUAGUUGGUGGGGUAAAAGCUUACCAAGGCGACGAUCUGUAGCUGGUCGGAGAGGACGACCAGCCACACUGGAACUGAGGCACGGUCCAGACUCCUACGGGAGGCAGCAGUGGGGAAUUUUGGACAAUGGGCGCAAGCCUGAUCCAGCAAUGCCGCGUGCAGGAUGAAGGCCUUCGGGUUGUAAACUGCUUUUGUACGGAGCGAAAAGGCUCUCUCUAAUACGGGGGGCUCAUGACGGUACCGUAAGAAUAAGCACCGGCUAACUACGUGCCAGCAGCCGCCGUAA